rnacentral:lncRNA from 1 species
UGAGAGACAUAGUUGAGGAUACUGUCCACCAAAAUUUCCCCAACCUUGCUAGAGAGGUUGAUGUGUAAAUUCAGAGAACCCCUGUGAAUCUCUGGGAUACAGCUAAAGCAAUGUUAAGAGGAAAGUUUAUAGCACUAAAUGCCUACAUCAGUAAGUUGGAAAAAUCUCAAAAUUAACAAGCUAACAUCACACCUAAAGGAACUAGAACAACAUGAGCAAACCAACCCCAAAGCUUGCAGAAUAAAACAAAUAACCAAAGUCAGAGCAGAACUGAAUGAAAUUGAUAUGUGAAAAUCCAUAUAAAAGAACAAUGAAACUACAUGUUUGUUUUUUGAAAUAUUAAACAAGGUUGAUAGAUUGCUAGCUAGAUUAAUAAAGAACAAAAGAGAGAAGAUCCAAAUAAACAUAUCAGAAAUGACAAAAGCGACAUUACUACCAAUCCCACAGAAAUACAGAAACCCCUCAGAGACUACUACAAACACCUCUGUGUACACAAACUAGAAAACCUAGAAGAAAUGGAUAAAUUUCUGGAAACAUACAAACUCCCAAGACUGAACCAGGAGGAAACUGAAAUCCUGAACAGACCAAUAACAAGUUUCAAAACUGAAUCAACAAUAAAAAACCUACCAACCAGAAAAGGCCCCAGGCCAGAUGGAUUCACAGCCAAAUUCUACCAGACAUACAAAGAAGAGUUGGUAACAAUCCUGCUGAAAUUAUUCCAAGAAACUGAGGAGGAACUCCUCCCUCACUCACUCUAUGAGGCCAACAUUAAUCUGACACAAAAACCUGUCAGAGACACAGUGAAUAAAGAAAACUUCAGGCCAAUAUCCCUGUGGAACCAAAAAGAGCCCAAAUAGCCAAAGCAUUCUUAAGCAAAAAGA